UCUUCAUGGCAACCCCCUGAGGGAGGCCUUGCAGGUUCUGUGUUACAGAUAAAGGAACGGGGUCGGUGAGGUUAAGAAAGUUGCCUGCAUCCUCCACAGCUAAUAGGUGGCAAACCUGGGAUUCUAGCCAGGUGCGGCUGACGUGGGAGCCUGGACCCUGUCCAUUCUGCCAUGGUGACAAUCAAUUGGACACGGUCAUAAGAAGGAAACUGGCCACCGUGAACUUCAGCAGAAGCACGAUUACCGCAUUUAUUCACCGGAAAAGCAUCUCUAAGACCACUGCAUGGAGACCCAGGUCCCGGCCUCGGGUUGUUCCUAAGCUGUUGGCAGGAGGGAGCCACCCAUAAGGAAGGAGAGGAUUUACAUCGAGAAGCACAGAGAAGGAGGCACAAUUGAAGGCACCCAGUGGGAAAGUGGGGUCUGUAGUGACAUCCAGAUGUGAGGGGCGUGAGCCGUGGCCUCGAUGAGAGAGCAGAGCCUCUCCAGGUGGACAAGCUGUUUGGCCAGUGCCUCAGUUUCCUGAUCUAUUCAAUGGGGGAGACACUAACAUCCAAAGGGUGAUAGGGAAGAGUGAGCCAUGGAUGGAAAGUUCCCAGUCCAACGCCCAGCACCAGUAAGUGGUCAGUAAAUUCUGGCU